rnacentral:rRNA from 1 species
CCGCCGGCGACCGGCGCACGGGUGAGUAACACGUAUGCAACCUGCCCUCCGCAGGGGGAUAACCCGGAGAAAUCCGGACUAAUACCGCGUGGUACACCAGUGGGGCAUCCCACGGGUGUUAAAAGGAAGCGAUUCCGGCGGAGGAUGGGCAUGCGGCGCAUUAGCUUGUUGGCGGGGUAACGCCCACCAAGGCGACGAUGCGUAGGGGUUCUGAGAGGAAGGUCCCCCACACUGGUACUGAGACACGGACCAGACUCCUACGGAAGGCAGCAG